GUCAGUAUGGCCGAGUGGUUAAGGCGUUAGACUUGAAAUCUAAUGAGCAUUGCUUUCACAGGUUCAAAUCCUGUUGCUGACG
rnacentral:tRNA from 1 species